ACAGAGGUGGCAAACGUUGUCCGGAUUUAUUGGGUGUAAAGGGCUUGUAGGCGGUUUUGUAAGUCAAAGGUGAAAUGGCCCGGCUUAACCAGGUCAUUGCCUUUGAAACUGCAGGACUUGAGUACGGAAGAGGAAAGCGGAAUUCCCAGUGUAGCGGUGAAAUGCGUAGAUAUUGGGAGGAACACCGGUGGCGAAGGCGGCUUUCUGGUCCGAAACUGACGCUGAGAUGCGAAAGCCAGGGGAGCAAACGGGA
rnacentral:rRNA from 1 species